UUGCAUAUUUUGAAGAAUUUUUAGAUUUUAUGGGAUAUUUUGCAAUUUCAUCUGUUUUUGAAGCAAAAUUUUUUAUUGCCAGGAAAUUGUAUUUUAGUAAACGUGUUUUUAGAUUACUGUCAAUCGAAUUGGCAAAGUAUAUUAUAAUACCAAUACAGAUGAAGUAAAUGGACUGAUUACGCGAAAAAGCUGAUACUUAAUAAUUUAUACUCAUAAUUUCGUAGUAUUUGGUUCAAAUGUUUAACUUUUGUUAUCUACUGAUUUUGUUGGUGUUUUUUUUUUGUCGAUCUCUACUGCGAUUAUCAUUGAACGAAUGUUAAAUGCGUUGUAUACUCUAUACCCGAACAGUUUGGUCAGUAAUUUUCCUUUAAACUCACUAUACCAUCGUUUACAUACAGUUAUUACUUGUCAUACAUAUUAUUACACCGGUACGAACUUAUUGCUAUUUUCUCAUAUUUAAUUAAAUUAUAGUUCAUUGCAGAAACAAUCGUUGAGUCACGUCCGUUAUAGGUCGGAUGCCCGGGCCUAUCACGCGGAUGUCUAAUUGUUAUUAUUAUUAUUGGACUUCCACAGGAUUGGCGGCGGCGGAGACUUGUCGCUAAUCUAGCGGGCGCCGAUUACCGGUCUUCAGGUGAAAAAAACCAUUUUUUUUUAAUCCAAUCGGCUCUUUUAAAAUUCGUCCAUUUACAUCGUUUUCGUCGCGUGUUAAAUUGGCAAAGGGAUUAUACGAAAAGCACAUAAUUAUUUUUAUGUAUUAUGAAAUUAUUUACAGCGACGAACUGGCCCGAUGGUGUACCUAUAGCGGUUAAAAUAUAUGACUAUAGACGGUUCUGCAUGUGAAUUCAAAUUUCCAACGACGGCGAGCGGCUUACCCACACUGCCGACUGUUUAAGGUCGUAGCCUAGUUAAAUAAUAAAAAUAUCAUGUCCAUCGCACAUUUUAUCGACUACGAUAUUUUUGAAAAUAAAACGUCUAGUAAGGUGUCUCUAAUAUUAGUUAUAAGACAACUACAACAGUAGAAUUUAAUAACAUCUGACAACCAACUCGCAUGAGAGUAUGUGAGUACCUCGAAUGUGACCGUGGAAAUUAUUUAAAAUUUCGAAGAUGUGAUGUGUGUUGGCUGUUAACGGAUUUACUUGGCGGUGUCGAACAAGCAGCCACGAUAAACAAAAAAAAAAAUUGUUACUACGCGGUCCAUAAGAAUGGAUAUAUUUUUUAAUAGAACACAUUUAUCUCUAUACCAAAUAAUAUCUUUUGCAUAUUUAUGGCUUGAAAAUGUUACAUUAUCGUUAAUCAAAAAUCAAAUAAACACUUCUUAACCAUCCGCUGUUGACUGGACACAUUCCACCGUGAAAUUACGUUCGAUGCUAUGAUUACAAGCAAUACAAAAAAUGGUUAGUUUUUAUUUUGCUCCGCUCAGAACCGUUUUCCGUACCUAUACAAUAAUUUCUCAUUGAGUUCAUAUUAUUCAAUCCAAGUGAAUUGACCUUAAACGUUUUAUACUCUAUAAUAGCAGGGGUGGCCAAUAUGAAUAUGUUCGCGAGCCAUAUGGAUAAAUACAAUGAUAUCAAGAGCCAAAAUGUUUAUAAAUACAUUUUAUAAUUUUUAUAAUUUUAUCUAAGUAAUAAAGAUAGCUAACAACUGAUAAACACACCAGAUUACGCAUAAGAAUUGACCUAUAAAUGUUUGCAAAAAAAAAAAAAUCAUAAUAAUAAGUACAUUUUUGGUUUUUGUUAAUAAGACGCGUGCCGCAUGAGACUAUGACACAAUAAUAAACCGCAAGUCGGUCACUCCUGCUCUAUAGCUUUAAACAACACUAUGCCGAAAAAAAAUGACAUGGCUAAUCAAUUAUAUAAUAUGGAGAUACCGCAACCAUGAUUUUUGUCAUAAUAUUAUGUAUCAACAGCGCGAUUUGGCACAGCAGCGAAACCAUCUAGCUUGGAGCUAUAGUUACCACAUUUCUGCAGCUGUCGGAGAUAGUGAGAACGAAAGUAAUGGCUAAUCGUGGAGUACUAUCGUAGGUAUAUGUUAAAUACCUUAAAUUACGCUAAAGUUUAAAUGUUAUUACGGAGUCAUUCAACUAGCGGAAUCCUACUCUGGCGAUGGACUGAAACACUAUCAUCAGCACUGCAGCUGUACAUCAUAUAAGACGUAACAAGUAUCACAUUGUUCAUUUACUUCAAAAUCAUAUUAUAAUUUUCGUACAAAAAAUUAAUAUAUAAUAUAAAUGUAAGUCAUUUUUCAGUGCUAGGGGAAUCCAAAAGUGCAACACAACAAAUAUUUAUUUUAAGAUUUAAAUGUCUUGUUGAUUAGAAAGGGUACCCUAAUCCAUCUACGUUCAAGAAUUUAUAAGUUGAGCGAAAAAAGUCUCGAUCAUACUAUUGUGUCAUCAAUCACCAUACAUAGUGCAGUGCUGCCACUGCUGCCACUGCUGCGUGAAGCUAUAAGAAACGAUUGUCGAGGAAAGUCGUUAUUAUAUUAGAUACCUAUUUAUUAUAGAAGAUUUCUAGUCGAUAAAAGUAUCAAUAUUUUAUUAUAAUUUAUUGUUGUCGUUGGUGCAACCCACGACAUAGGUACAAAAUAAUAAUACAUAUUUAUACAUUAUAUAUAGGUAUUAUAUA